rnacentral:tRNA from 1 species
GGCUUUAUAGUCAAGGAUGACAUUAGAUUGCAAUUCUAAAGGGGUAGAUUUUACUAAAGCUU